UACGAAGGGGGCUAGCGUUGUUCGGAAUUACUGGGCGUAAAGCGCGUGUAGGCGGUUGUUCAAGUUGGAUGUGAAAGCCUUGAGCUCAACUCAAGAAAUGCAUUCAGGACUGGGCGGCUAGAGGACCGGAGAGGAUAGUGGAAUUCCCAGUGUAGUGGUGAAAUACGUAGAGAUUGGGAAGAACACCAGUGGCGAAGGCGGCUAUCUGGACGGUUUCUGACACUAAGACUCGAAAGCGUGGGGAGCAAACAGG
rnacentral:rRNA from 1 species